UACGGGGGGGGUAAGCGUUGUUCGGAAUUACUGGGCGUAAAGGGCUCGUAGGCGGCCAACUAAGUCAUACGUGAAAUCCCUCAGCUUAACUGGGGAACUGCGUGUGAUACUGGAUGGCUUGGAUUUGGGAGAGGGAUGCGGAAUUCCAGGUGUAGCGGUGAAAUGCGUAGAUAUCGAGAGGAACACCUGCGGCGAAGGCGGGUUGCUGGGCUGACACUGACGCUGAAGCGCGAAAGCUAGGGGAGCGAACGGG
rnacentral:rRNA from 1 species